CCUACGGGUGGCAGCAGUGAGGAAUAUUGGUCAAUGGGCGCGAGCCUGAACCAGCCAAGUCGCGUGAAGGAUGACUGCCCUACGGGUUGUAAACUUCUUUUAUAAAGGAAUAAAGUGAGGCACGUGUGCCUUUUUGUAUGUACUUUAUGAAUAAGGAUCGGCUAACUUCGCGCCAGCAGCAGCGGUAAUACGGUGGAUCCGAGCGUUUUCCGGAUUUAUUGGGUUUAAAGGGAGCGUAGAUGGGUUGUUAAGUCAGUUGUGAAAGUUUGCGGCUCAACCGUAAAAUUGCAAUUGAUACUGGCAGUCUUGAGUGCAGUUGAGGUAAGCGGAAUUCGAGGUGUAGCGGUGAAAUGCUUAGAGAUCACGAAGAACUCCAGUGGCGAAGGCAGCUUACUAAACUGCCACUGACAUUGAUGCUCGAAAGUGUGGGUAUCAAACAGGAUUAGAUACCCCAGUAGUC
rnacentral:rRNA from 1 species